rnacentral:rRNA from 1 species
AGGAUUAGAUACCCUGGUAGUCGACAACAGUAAAGGAUGGAUAUUAGCUGUUUGCUAUCCACAGUAAGCGGCCAAAGCUAAAGCGUUAAGUAUUCCACCUGGUGAGUACGCCAGAAAAAAUAAAACUCAAAGGAAUUGACGGGGGCCGCACAAGCGGAGGUACAUGUGGUUUAAUUAGAUGAUACGCGAGGAACCUUACCCGGACGGAAAUUGCAGCUGUCUUUACCCCCACCGGUAUUUUCUUCGCAGAGUCGUGCAAGGUGCUGCAUGGUUGUCGUCAGCUCGUUCUGUGAGGUGUCGGCUUAAGUGGCAUAACGAGCGCAAUUCUUAUCUUUAGUUACUAACGGUCAUGCUGAGGACUCUAACGAUGCUACCGUCGUAAGAUGCGAGGAAGGUGGGGAUGACGUCAAAUCAUUACGGCCCUGGCGUCCGGGGCGACACACUUGUUACAAUAGCGAGCACAGAGGUUCGCUACACGGCGACAUGAUGCCAAUCCGUAAAACUCACUCUCAGUUCGGAUCGAAGUCUGCAACCCGACUUCGUGAAGCCGGAUUCUCUAGUAAUCGCGCGUCACCCACGGC